UGCGAGAGGAGGGAGCGCACUUCCUCCACAUCCCGGCUAAAGAUGGCUUGGACCAGGGGCGGCUGCGGAGAGAGAGCAGCGAGCGGAAUGUCCAAAGCAGGACUAUGCUCCUUCCCGUGACGUAGCUGCCUGUCAGGACUUCGGCCUGCUGUGAAGACAUUCUCUUCUCCACGAAAAACCUUUUGUUAUUUCUCUGCCACUAAGGAAGUCAGUCUCCUAGCAAAGGUGACUUCUCAUCCAACAGCAAACUUCCAUUUUUGCCACUUAAUAUUUCUGGUUCGCGAAUGCUUUCACAAAGGACCUGUGCCUCCCAUCAAAAGGGGAUUCCCACAACUCUCGGGCUGCCACUAGAACCCCAUCAGUUUGUUUUUUUUGAGACAGUUGGAGUUAAGUGACUUACCCAGAGUCACAGAGCUAGGAGGGUGUUAGACAAAUGUCUGAGGCCGGAUUUGAACUCAGAUCCUCCUGACUUCAUGGGGGGUGUUCUAUCCACUGCCCCAUCUAGCUGCUCUUUCCACCAAACUUAUGUCCUCCUAGGAAGAAAGCCAGGAAGACCCCUUCUUACAAGAUUAUAGCUUAGUCAGAGAGUUAAGAUGCACAGACUUCAAGGAAAUAGAAAACAUUUUCCUCCAACAAUUGGGGGACACAUUUUCCUCUAUGUUGCCUAGGAUCUGUAGGGCCAGUGCAAAGCUUUCACCCUACUCAGUGUACUUAUGAACCAUAUAUAGCCAAUAGUCCUUGACAUUAUUUUGCUUGCAGGAAUUAAGCAAAGUAAAUUUUCAGGAGCCAGACAAGAUGAUAAAGUAAGAGAAAGCAAUCUAACCCAUCUUCUCCUUAACAAUUAUUCCACAAAAAUCAAGAAAAUGUGCCAAAAUGAAUCCUGACAGGCAAAUCCAAAGGGAAAAAAAUCACUGAGUUUUCCAUCCUCAGUUAGAACAGGAAAACAGAAAUGUCUUCAGAUAUUGGGGAUGGAGCCUAACUAGUGGGGCAUAGUGCAGAGCCUUCUAGUGCAGGGACUGAAUGAGGGCCCUAUACACUAGGGCAGGAAGAGCUGGCUCCAUAGAAGCCUGAUAUUGUCUAAAGAACAAGUAUAGAUUAACUGGAAAAUCUGUCCCUCAUACUCCAGAGAUGGAUCAUAGAUCCAGUGCAGACUGAAAGGACAACCUGGGCCUAGGAUCCAGAACAAGGAGAAGUUGCAGGCUGUGGUUCUGUAGUAGAAAAGGAACAUGAACAGAAGCAAAUAGCAGCUGUGUGUCUCUGACCUUGGGAGUACAACAGGAUCUCAGAUCCUACCUCCAAAUCAGUCUGAAGACCAAUGAAAGCUUGCAAUUCUAUCACACUGAAUCUGCAGUUGUUUUUUUGGAUUGCGGACAGUAGCUGAAUCCUGCAGCUUUCUACUAGGAUUUCUGACAAAGGACAAGACCACAAUUGUGUUACUCAGACCCAAACCCAGAUUAGAAGGUUGCACAACUCAGAUCACAAAGGAAACAAUAAGAUUUUGCCCUAUACCAAGGCUCUAACACAAAAUCUGAAAUCCAGAAGUUAAAUCUAGAUUUCAGUUAGAAUGAGCAAAGAAAAAUAGAAUCAUACGCCCAUCAGUUGGGGAAUGGAUAAAUAAAUUAUGGUAUAUGAGUGUAAUAGAAUAUUAUUGUUUUAUAAGAAACAAUUAACAGGAUGAUUUCAAAAAGGCCUGGAGAGACUUAUAUGAACUGAUGCUGAGUGAAGGGAGUAGGACCAAGAACGUUGUACAUAACAUCAACAAGAUUGUGUGAUGAUCAACUCUUUUCAACAGUGAGGUGAUUCAGGCCAGUUCCAAUGGUCUUGUGAUGAAAAGAGCCAUUUGCACCCAGAGCGAGGACUGUGGGGACUGAAUGUGGAUCACAACAUAGUAUUUUUCACCUUUUGUUGUUGUUUGCUUGGUUUUUUUUCUCUCGUUUUUUUCUUUGAUCUGAUUUUUCUUGUACAGCAUGAUAGCAUGGAAAUAUGUUUAGAAGAAUUGUACAUGUUUAACCUAAAUUAGAUUACUUACUAUCUAGGAGAGGAGGGAAGAGAGGAGGAAGGGAAAAAAAUAUGGAACACAAGGUUUUAUAAGUAAAUGUUGAAAACUAUUUUUGCAUGUAUUUUGAAAAAUAAAAGCUAUUAUUUUAAAAAGAAAGAAAAAUAGAGUCUUACCACAAAGAGAUUUUCUGGUGACAGAGACACUUAAGACACAAACUAAAAAAAAGAAUGGUUCCAAAAUAUCUACAUGCAUAGCUCAAGGUUAAACAUAACUUGGGCACGUGUUCAACUAAAAUUCCUAGAAUAAAUGAGGCGAGAUGGGGUUUUUUCUUGUUUGUUUGUUUUUUAAGGGUCACAAAACUAUUUUUUACAAAUGAGAGUGUUAAAGGAAAUAAUUGGAAAAGAAAUGAGAGCUAUGGAAGAAAGUCUUACAACAACUAAAAACUUAGCACAAAAGAUACAGAAUUUAUCUGAGGAAUAAAGUCUUUGAAAUUUAGAAUGAAAAACAUAGAAGUUAGUGACGUCAUAAGAAAACAAUAUACUACUGGACUAAGUCCCUAGCUAUUGGGGAAAAUGUUUUGUAUUUCUGUUCUUCCUAUGUUUUAGUAAGUAUUCCUUUGUAAAAGUUAAUUGUUGUUAAUUAGUUAAAUGAUAUUGAGGUACUAAUCAGUACUACUAAUGAUAUAUUGAAAUGUGGGCUCAAGCUCCUAAUAUUAUUAGGAAGAUAUCCAUUUCCUCCUCAGGAGUACCUUUAGAACUCUGAAGGGAAAAUAUACACAGCCAAUAUUUGGGGGAUUAAAACCUUAGUGUAAGUGAGAGUUGGACCAAUACCCUUCUCCCAAGGAAUAUAAGAUCUGUAUAUACUACAGGACCUUUAUAUUGCAUUCAUUUGUGUAUCAUUUUCAUGUGUGUCUAUUCUAACCCCUUGAUUAGGCUAUAAUCGUAUGAAUGGGAGUCUUCUCAGUUUGACAUCCAAGGUUCUUGAGCAUGUGGUAUUAAACUCAGAUGUUUCAUCUGCAACAUGAGGAAUUUUGCCUGUAUAAUCUCUAAGUUCCUUUUCAGCUCCUAAUAAUUUGUAUAUUGAUAAAUAAUGAAGAGUUUAAGACAAAAAGAGGAGUGGAUGAAGUAGGGGAGAAAGGACAUCUUCCAGAGGAGAGACCAGUAAACUAGCUGUAUCACUACAGGAUUGGCCCAAAGAUGUGGCCCAAAAUAGCCCCUGGAAAUAUGAGGAACUCUUGUUAGAGGAUGAACAUGGGUCACAUGUCUGGGUCUGGGAUGGGGUGAAGGUGAGUAGAAGGCACUUACUGGGUUCCAUGGGCAGUUGGAAGAAGAGGAAGAGUUAUUUUUAUCAUCAAACAUCCAGAAAGAAGAUUCACCAGUGGGG